rnacentral:rRNA from 1 species
UACGUAGGGGGGCUAGCGUUGUCCGGAAUCAUUGGGCGUAAAGCGCGUGUAGGCGGUCCGGUAAGUCCGCUGUAAAAGUCCAGGGCUCAACCCUGGAAAGCCGGUGGAUACUGUCGGGCUCGAGUCCGGAAGAGGAAAGUGGAAUUCCUGGUGUAGCGGUGAAAUGCGCAGAUAUCAGGAAGAACACCAAUGGCGAAAGCAGCUUUCUGGGACGGUACUGACGCUGGAGACGCGAAGGCGUGGGGAGCGAACAGG